rnacentral:snRNA from 1 species
GUGCUCACCUCAGCAGCAUACAUACUAAAAAUUAGAACAAUACAGAGAAGAUUAGCAUGGCCCCUGCACAAGGAUGAGAUGCAAACUCGUGAAGCGUUCCAUAUUUUU